rnacentral:ncRNA from 2 species
AGCAGCCGCGGUAAUUCCAGCUCCAAUAGCGUAUAUUAAAGUUGCUGCAGUUAAAAAGCUCGUAGUUGAAUUUCGGGACUAAUAUGUCGGUCGUGCCUCGGUACGUACUGGUUUAUUGGUUUCUCCUUUCUGAAGAACCAUGAUGUCAUUUAUUUGGUGUCGUGGGGAAUCAGGACUGUUACUUUGAAAAAAUUAGAGUGUUUAAAGCAGGCUCACGCUUGAAUACAUUAGCAUGGAAUAAUGAAAUAGGACGUUUGAUUCUAUUUUGUUGGUUUCUAGGAUCGACGUAAUGAUUAAUAGGGAUAGUUGGGGGCAUUAGUAUUCAAUUGUCAGAGGUGAAAUUCUUGGAUUUAUUGAAGACUAACUACUGCGAAAGCAUUUGCCAAGGAUGUUUUCAUUAAUCAAGAACGAAAGUUAGGGGAUCGAAGACGAUCAGAUACCGUCGUAGUCUUAACCAUAAACUAUGCCGACUAGGGAUCGGAUGAUGUUAAUUUUUUUAAUGACUCAUUCGGCGCCUUAC